rnacentral:rRNA from 1 species
UGAGCAAUCUGCCCUUCUCAUCGGAAUAACCAUUGGAAACGAUGGCUAAUACCGAAUAUGACUUCGGAUCGCAUGAUCUGAAGUGGAAAGCUCCGGCGGUGAAGGAUGAGCUCGCGGCCUAUCAGCUAGUUGGUGUGGGUAAUGGCCCACAAGGCGACGACGGGUAGCCGGCCUGAGAGGGUGACCGGCCACACUGGGACUGAGACACGGCCCAGAUCCGUACGGG